rnacentral:rRNA from 1 species
UGGUGGGUAGUUUGACUGGGGCGGUCUCCUCCUAAAGAGUAACGGAGGAGCACGAAGGUUGGCUAAUCCUGGUCGGACAUCAGGAGGUUAGUGCAAUGGCAUAAGCCAGCUUGACUGCGAGCGUGACGGCGCGAGCAGGUGCGAAAGCAGGUCAUAGUGAUCCGGUGGUUCUGAAUGGAAGGGCCAUCGCUCAACGGAUAAAAGGUACUCCGGGGAUAACAGGCUGAUACCGCCCAAGAGUUCAUAUCGACGGCGGUGUUUGGCACCUCGAUGUCGGCUCAUCACAUCCUGGGGCUGAAGUAGGUCCCAAGGGUAUGGCUGUUCGCCAUUUAAAGUGGUACGCGAGCUGGGUUUAGAACGUCGUGAGACAGUUCGGUCCCUAUCUGCCGUGGGCGCUGGAGAACUGAGGGGGGCUGCUCCUAGUACGAGAGGACCGGAGUGGACGCAUCACUGGUGUUCGGGUUGUCAUGCCAAUGGCACUGCCCGGUAGCUAAAUGCGGAAGAGAUAAGUGCUGAAAGCAUCUAAGCACGAAACUUGCCCCGAGAUGAGUUCUCCCUGAGACUUUAAGUCUCCUGAAGGAACGUUGAAGACGACGACGUUGAUAGGCCGGGUGUGUAAGCGCAGCGAUGCGUUGAGCUAACCGGUACUAAUGAACCGUGAGGCUUAACCUUACAACG